CAUCUAUUCAAUUUUCAUAGAAAGACAACAUUUUUAUCAACCGUAGCUUAUUGGACGAUGUGGCCACCUGUUGAUUUGCCAGCCAAACCUGACAGCAUGUAAGUGUGCCAAACAUAUGUCUGUCUAGUGGAAAGGAAGAAACACAGGAACGGAUACAGAUCCCUCAGUAUUUGAAGGCUGCAUAUAUUAAUAUAGGGCAAUUCUUUCUUUGCAAUUUGAAAAUGCUCAGUGCUGUUCUAGGCCGUACUGAGGGUUCAGCGAGACCGGCCCCUAGUGGGGACGCAGGCCAAAAGGGGGUGCAAAAAUCACUUGUCCAAUUGACAUGUGAUUUUUGCACCCCCUCAAUUUGCUGUCCCUGCUUCCCCAGGCAGUGUGUGGCUCCAUAAGGGAACUGCAUAACCUGUACACGGGGAGGGGGAGCAUUGGGAGGAAUGAGACACAUGAAAGCUG